GUCGCGUCCUUGGACACGGUGCCCUGGCCGCUGUUGACGGUCCGGUUGGGGCUGAUCCUGUCUGCCGACGCGGUGCC
rnacentral:tRNA from 1 species